rfam:Myotis davidii contig31287, whole genome shotgun sequence.
GGCGGUUCUCGGGUGACGCACCUGGAAUCAGAGAGGAGGGAGCCCGACUCCAGGGUGCGUCACCCGAGAACCACC